CCGGAGAAGGCAUCAGGUCAUCCACUGCACUGGCCUGCACCACGAUUAGUAUAAGGCACAUUUCACGAAGCAGAACGCAGUCUUCAGAGAUAUCCACGUGAACGCUGUGAUACGUCUGACCUUCAGUCCGAAGAAGAAACCCAGACCAGUCUUAAAAGAAAGCACAAACCAAAUCCCCUGUACACAUAUACGGACUCAGAGGAUGAGCAGCCUACAAAAAAACGAGUGAAAAUACCAGCCCUCAUCACUCCGCAGUCUGCCCCCCAGCCCACUGAUAGCAACCAUCAUAAUGCCCCACCCAGCUUCCGGCACCUUUCGCCACUCCGGCACAAACCGACACAGCUUUGCGAUCUCGCCAGCAUGCAGAGUCUGAUGUCUUCCCUAUAGAUGAUUCCAGAGACUCUGUGAGGCCACUAUUACAAGG
ensembl:lncRNA